rnacentral:rRNA from 1 species
GAGGCAAAAUUGUUCCAAGAAGGCAAAUAUUCGGAGAUGACUAUGGAAACACCUCUCCGGAUCCUCGAAUUGAAAGAGAGAUUGAGAGGGGUCAAGAAUCCUAAUUAUCGCUAUUCGGAAUGGAUCCAAUUAUGUUGA